rnacentral:rRNA from 1 species
GACGAAGGGGGCUAGCGUUGUUCGGAAUUACUGGGCGUAAAGCGCGUGUAGGCGGUUGUCCAAGUUGGAUGUGAAAGCCUUGAGCUUAACUCAAGAAAUGCAUUCAGGACUGGAUGACUAGAGGACCGGAGAGGAUAGUGGAAUUCCCAGUGUAGUGGUGAAAUACGUAGAGAUUGGGAAGAACACCAGUGGCGAAGGCGGCUAUCUGGACGGUUUCUGACGCUAAGGCACGAAAGCGUGGGGAGCAAACAGG